UACGAAGGGACCUAGCGUAGUUCGGAAUUACUGGGCUUAAAGAGUUCGUAGGUGGUUGAAAAAGUUGGUGGUGAAAUCCCAGAGCUUAACUCUGGAACUGCCAUCAAAACUUUUCAGCUAGAGUAUGAUAGAGGAAAGCAGAAUUUCUAGUGUAGAGGUGAAAUUCGUAGAUAUUAGAAAGAACACCAAUUGCGAAGGCAACUUUCUGGAUCAUUACUGACACUGAGGAGCGAAAGCAUGGGUAGCGAAGAGG
rnacentral:rRNA from 1 species